rnacentral:misc_RNA from 1 species
AGCGUCUUCGCCAAGCCCUGGCCGACCCCUGUCGCGGCCCACACACGUCCCCGCCACGACCAUCAGGCAGGGCGGCACUCCUUCCUUCAUUAACGGUAACGAGAUGGUAUUAGCAAGUGUGCGGUAACCAGGUGUGAAGCAGUAACCUUUAUCACCCGGCCACGCUGUCUGGAAACUGCCAGAUACUCGUCUAAGUUUUGGGCGGCGUGUGCUUUUUUUUUCUACGUUUCUUGUCCUAAUGGAGAAUAAAAACGGCGAGCAUUUAAGACAAAUGAUAAGUGAGGCGAGACAGGUGUGCCGUUACGGGGCGUCUGCGCGGCGGCCGUGGGACCCGCAAAGAUCCGGCUUAUCAGGAGCGGACAGCUGGCCUCCACCAGCCUCGGGACGCCCUUGCCGUGCUCCUCGCUCCUGGCCAGCACACCCGCGCACCCGCCUUACCGUCCACAUCGGCCGGGAACAGGCUGGCGAGAGGACCCGUAAGAGCGGCGCGGUGAAGGCGACGAGGCUGCCAGGCCGGACUCCUGUCGAGGCUGUCAGCGGCCCCGCCCUUACACCGCACCUCGGGAUGUCCGGAUCGACUCCCUUGGGAUUUCCGCAUGCCGUCCCUGAGAGCACAAAGUAUUUGCACGACGCAGACGGUGCUGGUGUUAGUCAGUCGCCACCAGCGGCCCCAGGCACACCUCUCCGCCCUGGCUGCAUUAUGGUCUCUUGAUCGGAGGUGGUCGCCGCUCACUCACGGACACAAAUGGAGGAGAAUCAAAAGAAAAACUGGCCUGCAGAGAACUAUGGCCGCUUCCUAUCGCUAGAUUUCUCCCCGGCAUUCUCCUCCGCUCUCUCUCUUCGUCUGCCAUUUUCUGCUCCCUGUCUACUAUAACAUCUACACUGCACCCCCAUCAGGUACUGUAUUGUAAAGACAAGAUUAGUUUUUCAAGUAAGAGGAGCUGAAAUAAUACAAGUUAACGUAUCCAGGAGUAAAAUAAUAAGGUGUGUAAAAUAUCCGACAAGCUCAAUAAGUGAUGUUGAAUUUUUAGAAAGAAAUAAAAGAAAUAUAAAACAGAACCCAAAGGCAGAUCAUGAAAGUAAGCA